UACGGGGGGUGCAAGCGUUGUUCGGAAUCAUUGGGCGUAAAGAGCGUGUAGGCGGUUGGACAAGUCAGAUGUGAAAGCCCUGGCUCAACCCAGGAAGUGCAUUUGAAACUGUUCAGCUAGAGUAAGGGAGAGGAAAGUGGAAUUCCUGGUGUAGAGGUGAAAUUCGUAGAUAUCAGGAGGAACACCGGUGGCGAAGGCGGCUUCCUGGACCGAUACUGACGCUGAGACGCGAAAGCGUGGGGAGCAAACAGGAUUAGAUACCCCCGUAGUCC
rnacentral:rRNA from 1 species